GAUCCUCACGCGUGCCGCUUCGGUCCUGAUGGGCAGGACGCAGGUCUCUCACUAGACCAGUGUUUCCCUCUGUGAGGCCUGGAGAGGAGCCUUCUGGCCACUCCUGGGUACAACACGAAGGGAGAAGCAGACCUGAGUUUUUUAUUUUUACUUAUUUUUUUUUUUUUGAGACAGAGUCUCGCUCCAUCGCCCAGGCUGGAGUGCAGUGGUGCGAUCUCGGCUCACUGCAAGCUCCGCCUCCCCGGUUCAUGCCAUUCUCCUGCCUCAGCCUCCUGAGUAGCUGGGACUACAGGCGCCCGCCACCACGCCCAGCUAAUUUUUUGUAUUUUUAGUAGAGACAGCGUUUCACCGUGUUAGCCAGGAUAGUCUUGAUCUCCUGACAUUGUGAUCUGCCCGCCUCGGCCUCCCAAAGUGCUGGGAUUACAGGUGUAAGCCACUGCACCCGGCCAGGCCUGAGCUUUUUAUAUACACCAACUGCCAAACAUUCCACGUGAAUUUCCUGAAACUUCUCUUUGGAAAGCUUCUGUUUGUAUGUAUAAGGCAAUGUGCAUGCCAGCAUGUCAGUUACAGCAGGAGAGAGGGAACAAGCCAUGUGGGAACUGAUGGAGCCAUGUCACAUCCAGUGUCCUCUGCAGCCGCUAUGGAGUGCCAGGAGGAAUGAGGGGCAAAUGGCACUUGAAAAAUGGCACAGGCAAGAGCAUCAUCGGAUCUCUCCUUUUCUUCCUGAAGACAGGAGAUAAAAACGCUCAGGUGAAAGAUGCCUUCCCUGUACCGGGCGAAGAAAGAUUCCUCUACAGGGAAGCACGUCAUAGCCAACAGAAUUCUGUACAGACAUUAAAGUAAUUAAAGUAAUUCCUGUCGUUCUUAAGCCUCCCCACACGGUUUACUUUUCCACAACUGCCUCUUUGUUCAGCCUCCUGCAAAAGCACAUAGGUUUCGUCACUUCUUUGGGUCUUUGCUUCCUUAGGAGGGUCCUGUGUGACAUCAAAGUGACAUUAAAUUUGUAUACAUUUCUCCUGUUAAUCCAUCUGAUUUCAACUUAGUUCCCAGGCCCAGCCAGGAACCUAAGAGGAGGGAGGUGGAUAUUUGCCUCCCCUACAGUAUCGUGUACGUAUAUGACUUUUUAAAAAAGAAAA
rnacentral:lncRNA from 10 species